rnacentral:rRNA from 1 species
ACACGACCGUACCGCAAACCGACACUGGUGCGCGAGAUGAGUAUUCUAAGGCGCUUGAGAGAACUCGGGAGAAGGAACUCGGCAAAUUGACACCGUAACUUCGGAAGAAGGUGUGCCUUUAGUCAGUGAACCAUUUACUUGGGGAGCUAAACGAGGCUGCAAAAAAUCGGUGGCUGCAACUGUUUAUUAAAAACACAGCACUCUGCUAAGACGAAAGUCGACGUAUAGGGUGUGACGCCUGCCCGGUGCUGGAAGAUUAAAUGAUGGGGUGCAAGCUCUUGAUUGAAGUCCCAGUAAACGGCGGCCGUAACAAUAACGGUCCUAAGGUAGCGAAAUUCCUUGUCGGGUAAGUUCCGACCUGCACGAAUGGCGUAAUGAUGGCCACACUGUCUCCUCCCGAGACUCAGCGAAGUUGAAAUGUUUGUGAUGAUGCAAUCUCCCCGCGGAAAGACGGAAAGACCCCAUGAACCUUUACUGUAGCUUUGUAUUGGACUUUGAACAGAUCUGUGUAGGAUAGGUGGGAGGCUUUGAAGCCGGGACGCUAGUUCUGGUGGAGCCAACGUUGAAAUACCACCCUGGUGUGUUUGAGGUUCUAACCUAGGUCCAUUAUCUGGAUCGGGGACAGUGCAUGGUAGGCAGUUUGACUGGGGCGGUCUCCUCCCAAAGUGUAACGGAGGAGUUCGAAGGUACGCUAGUUACGGUCGGACAUCGUGACGAUAGUGCAAUGGCAUAAGCGUGCUUAACUGCGAGACUGACAAGUCGAGCAGAUGCGAAAGCAGGACAUAGUGAUCCGGUGGUUCUGUAUGGAAGGGCCAUCGCUCAACGGAUAAAAGGUACUCUGGGGAUAACAGGCUGAUACCGCCCAAGAGUUCAUAUCGACGGCGGUGUUUGGCACCUCGAUGUCGGCUCAUCUCAUCCUGGGGCUGUAGCCGGUCCCAAGGGUAUGGCUGUUCGCCAUUUAAAGAGGUACGUGAGCUGGGUUUAAAACGUCGUGAGACAGUUUGGUCCCUAUCUUCCGUGGGCGCUGCAGAUUUGAGGAAGCCUGCUCCUAGUACGAGAGGACCGGAGUGGACGAACCUCUGGUGUAUCGGUUGUCACGCCAGUGGCAUUGCCGAGUAGCUAAGUUCGGAAGAGAUAACCGCUGAAAGCAUCUAAGCGGGAAACUCGUUUCAAGAUUAGAUCUGCCGGGGCCUUGAGCCCCCUAAAGAGUCGUUCAAGACCAGGACGUUGAUAGGUCAGGUGUGGAAGCGCAGUAAUGCGUUAAGCUAACUGAUACUAAUUGCUCGUGCGGCUUGACC